GCGGCAGGCCUAACACAUGCAAGUCGAACGGUAACAGGAAAAAGCUUGCUUUUUUGCUGCGAGUGGCGGACGGGUGAGUAAUGUCUGGGAAACUGCCUGAUGGAGGGGGAUAACUACUGGAAACGGUAGCUAAUACCGCAUAACGUCGCAAGACCAAAGAGGGGGACCUUCGGGCCUCUUGCCAUCGGAUGUGCCCAGAUGGGAUUAGCUAGUAGGUGGGGUAACGGCUCACCUAGGCGACGAUCCCUAGCUGGUCUGAGAGGAUGACCAGCCACACUGGAACUGAGACACGGUCCAGACUCCUACGGGAGGCAGCAGUGGGGAAUAUUGCACAAUGGGCGCAAGCCUGAUGCAGCCAUGCCGCGUGUAUGAAGAAGGCCUUCGGGUUGUAAAGUACUUUCAGCGGGGAGGAAGGGAGUAAAGUUAAUACCUUUCUCAUGACGUACUCGCAGA
rnacentral:rRNA from 1 species